rnacentral:rRNA from 1 species
GAUGAACGCUGGCGGCGUGCCUCAAACAUGCAAGUCGAGCGAGGCUAUGAAUUACCGCAAGGUAAGGCAUAGCCUAGCGGCGAACGGGUGAGUAACACGUGGGUAACCUACCUGGAAGACAGGGAUAACGAUUCGAAAGGGUCGCUAAUACCUGAUAAUAUCCAUCUGCCGGAUGGCGGAGGGAAGAAAGGGGAAACCCGCUUUCAGAUGGGCCCGCGUCCCAUCAGCUAGUUGGUAAGGUAAAGGCUUACCAAGGCGACGACGGGUAGCCGGUCUGAGAGGAUGUACGGCCACACUGGGACUGAGAUACGGCCCAGACUCCUACGGGAGGCAGCAGUUGGGAAUCUUAGGCAAUGGACGAAAGUCUGACCUAGCGACGCCACGUGAGGGAAGAAGGCCUUCGGGUUGUAAACCUCUGUCAUGGGGAAGGAAGGAAGUGACGGUACCCGAAGAGGAAGCCCUGCUAACUACGUGCCAGCGCCGCGGUAAAACGUCGAACGUCG